rnacentral:rRNA from 1 species
AACGCUAGCUACAGGCUUAACACAUGCAAGUCGAGGGGAAACGACAUCGAAAGCUUGCUUUUGAUGGGCGUCGACCGGCGCACGGGUGAGUAACGCGUAUCCAACCUGCCCACCACUUGGGGAUAACCUUGCGAAAGUAAGACUAAUACCCAAUGAUAUCCCACGAAGGCAUCCGAAUGGGAUUAAAGAUUUAUCGGUGAUGGAUGGGGAUGCGUCUGAUUAGCUUGUUGGCGGGGUAACGGCCCACCAAGGCAACGAUCAGUAGGGGUUCUGAGAGGAAGGUCCCCCACAUUGGAACUGAGACACGGUCCAAACUCCUACGGGAGGCAGCAGUGAGGAAUAUUGGUCAAUGGGCGAGAGCCUGAACCAGCCAAGUAGCGUGCAGGAUGACGGCCCUAUGGGUUGUAAACUGCUUUUAUAAGGGAAUAAAGUGGGUCACGUGUGACUUUUUGCAUGUACCUUAUGAAUAAGGACCGGCUAAUUCCGUGCCAGCAGCCGCGGUAAUACGGAAGGUCCGGGCGUUAUCCGGAUUUAUUGGGUUUAAAGGGAGCGUAGGCCGGAGAUUAAGCGUGUUGUGAAAUGUAGUGGCUCAACCUCUGCACUGCAGCGCGAACUGGUCUUCUUGAGUACGCACAACGUGGGCGGAAUUCGUGGUGUAGCGGUGAAAUGCUUAGAUAUCACGAAGAACUCCGAUUG